rnacentral:lncRNA from 1 species
GUUUGAGUCAUUGUUUCAAGGACAAGUUACAAAGCAGGGGCACGCUUUGAGACUUGAAACAUUUGAACAUAUAAAG